CCUACGGGGAGCAGCAGUGGGGAAUCUUUGGCAAUGGGCGCAAGCCUGACCCAGCAACGCCGCGUGAGGGAAGAAGGCUUUAUGGUUGUUAACUCCUUUUGUUAGGGACGCAGAAAGCGACGGUAGCUGAACAAUAAGCCACGGCUAACAACGCGCAAGCAGCAGCGGUAAUACUGCAGUGGCAAGCGUUCUCCGGAUUUACUGGUUGUAAGGGGCGUGUAGGCGGGGAUGCAAGUCCGAUGUGAAAACUACGGGCUCAACCCGUGGCCUGCAGUUGAUACUGUUUUUCUUGAGUGCUGGAGAGGCAACCGGAAUUCGGUGUGUAGCGGUGAAAUGCGUAGAUAGACGGAGGAACACCAGUGGCGAAGGCGGAUUGCUGGACAUUAACUGACGCUGAGGCGCGAAAGCGUGGGGAGCGAACAGGAUUAGAUACCCUUGUAGUC
rnacentral:rRNA from 1 species